CGGCGCCGGGAGAGACCUCGUAACGGAACUGGGACGCCAGCGCUGCAUUGUGGGAGCUUUUAAAGCGGCGGGGAGCUCGGCGCGACCCUCGGGCCCACCGGGCCACGCUCGCCCGGCCCGCGACGCCCCCCCGCUGUCGCCUGGCCCGCGACGCACCGAGGCCUGAGGACCCGAAAGCCGGGCGCGGGGAGAUGACCGGUGGCUCGUGACGGUCCCACGGGCAAAAUCUUCCAUCGCCCGGGGCUGAGACUUGUCAAACUGCCCUCUACGGUCACCCGGAAAGUAGGAGGCUUUUUCUGCAGAGGGAAAAAAAUCAAAAAGAGCCGUUCCAUCCCCCCUCCAAGGACUGGGUUUGAAUUGCUUUUCAUCUGCAGUGGCUGUGAUUCAGCGUCCCUCUUAGCAGCAGGCACUGACAGAGGCAGGAGAGGAAAAAAGAAAGAAAGAAAGAGAAAACACAGCAAAUGAAUCAAACGGACGUAGCAGGCAAGAGUGUGGUUAUCGUUGGACCAGGAUUCAGGAUCUGACCGAGUAGCUGACUCUUAAUCCAGUUUGUGUUGAUCACCAGGAGGAUCUGGACCUCAGUGUUAUCACAUCUAAAGGUGAUAUGCCAACUCCACCUUUGCCUUCCACCAUGUUUGGAAGCUCCCUGAGGCCUCACCAGGAGCAGAUGCUCGUCCCAUGCUUCCUAUAAGCCUGCAGAACUGUGAGCCAUAAUAAACUGUGAAUUAUAAAUUGCCUUUAUAGCAAUGCAAAUGGACCAGUACAGAUGGGAUGCUGGGAAGACAGUUGUUCCACCUUCAGUAAAGUCCAUGGAACACAGUUGUGACUAUAUUCUAGGCCAGCCAAGAUGCUUGUACUCAGAAAGGAGUGAUCUCAGGACCAUAAGAAAGUGAAAAAAUAAAAAUAAGAAAACAAAGAAGGGAUUGUCAAUGAAUCAGAAUUCAUCAAGGUCAAAGUCUUAGGAAAUUCCUUCAUGAGGAAGUCUAGGGGGGCUAUGGAAAUGAAAAUUUUUAAACAAAUAGGUAUGUGGUGCUGGCAGGAAUAAAUUAUGGACUUAUGAAUAUAACAUAAGAUUCUUUAUUACCUGGUCUCACCCGUCUUUCCACCUCUGCCCCCCUUCUUGCCCGACUCUGUGUAUCACCCAUAAUAAACUACUUACAGCUUCCUAGUGUUAAAUUUACCCUAAAGCUGCCUCCUUCAAUAUUUUAAGUUUAACCUAAAGGUUCUUCAUACAUAGUGAACUAUAACCCAAUGAUUAAACAGAUUGUAACCUACUCUUGUACCAGUCACCAAGUUUCAGCCAAUCAGAGGUGGCCAACUGUUCAAACCAUGCUCAAAUAAGGGAAAUGUCAUGGUGUAACUAAUCCAGCUGUUUCUAUAUCUUACUUCUGUUUUCUUAGGUCACUUUCCUUUUUCUGUCCAUAAAUUCUCUCCAACCACUCAGCAGCACUGGAGUCACUCCAAAGCUAUCCUGGUUCAGGGGUCUGUCUGAUUCACAAGUCAUUCUUUGUUCAAUUGAGCUCUGCUAAAUUUAAUUUGUCUGAAGUUUUUCUUUUAACAGAUGGUGUCAGAAAUGGACCCCAAAGUAGAGCUCCCAGUGAUCCCCCAGGAGCACUGAGUGACCACAAGGGGUACCUGCUGGGCCCGUCCUCUCGCA
rnacentral:lncRNA from 1 species